AAGAUCAUACUUCACAGGAUCAUUUCUGUAGUAGGUCUUCCCAUACUCUCUACUCAAAUGUAGAGUUGUCGCAACCAUGAUGAUGAGACAUAGUCUCGUAUCCUGAGCGUGAGGCAGAUUUCUUGUGGUGGUUUUAUAUUACCGCAGAAGUCAUCGAUGAUCGUUCACCUGCAUUUUUUUGUGGGCACGGGUACGAGGCAAUCCGAGUGGU
rnacentral:snoRNA from 14 species